AGCAUGUCCUGAGCUCUGGUGGAGUGGU
rnacentral:sRNA from 1 species